rnacentral:rRNA from 1 species
AUUGAACGCUGGCGGCAGGCCUAACACAUGCAAGUCGAAUGGUAACAGGAAACAGCUUGCUGUUUCGCUGACGAGUGGCGGACGGGUGAGAAAUGUCUGGGAAACUGCCUGAUGGAGGGGGAUAACUACUGGAAACGGUAGCUAAUACCGCAUAACGUCGCAAGACCAAAGAGGGGGACCUUCGGGCCGCUUGCCAUCAGAUGUGCCCAGAUGGGAUUAGCUAGUAGGUGGGGUAACGGCUCACCUAGGCGACGAGCCCUAGCUGGUCGGAGAGGAUGACCGGCCACACUGGAACUGAGACACGGUCCAGACUCCUACGGGAGGCAGCAGUGGGGAAUAUUGCACAAUGGGCGCAAGCCUGAUGCAGCCAUGCCGCGUGUAUGAAGAAGGCCUUCGGGUUGUAAAGUACUUUCAGCGGGGAGGAAGGGAGUAAAGUUAAUACCUUGGCUCAUUGACGUUACCCGCAGAAGAAGCACCGGCUAACUCCGUG